UACGGAGACUGCAAGCGUUACUCGGAUUCACUGGGCGUAAAGCGUGCGUAGGCUGUCAGGUAUGUCAGGUGUGAAAGCCCGGGGCUCAACCCCGGAAAUGCGCCUGAAACUACUUGGCUUGAGUCUUGGAGAGGGAGGCGGAAUUUCUGGUGUAGCGGUGAAAUGCGUAGAUAUCAGAAGGAACACCAAAGGCGAAGGCAGCCUCCUGGACAAGUACUGACGCUGAGGUACGAAAGCGUGGGUAGCAAAAGGG
rnacentral:rRNA from 1 species